rnacentral:rRNA from 1 species
GAUGAACGCUGGCGGCGUGCCUAAUACAUGCAAGUCGAGCGAAUGGAUUGAGAGCUUGCUCUUAUGAAGUUAGCGGCGGACGGGUGAGUAACACGUGGGUAACCUGCCCAUAAGACUGGGAUAACUCCGGGAAACCGGGGCUAAUACCGGAUAACAUUUUGAACCGCAUGGCGCGAAAUUGAAAGGCGGCUUCGGCUGUCACUUAGGGAUGGACCCGCGUCGCAAUAGCUAGUUGGUGAGGUAACGGCUCACCAAGGCAACGAUGCGUAGCCGACCUGAGAGGGUGAUCGGCCACACUGAGACUGAGACACGGCCCAGACUCCUACGGGAGGCGGCAGUAGGGAAUCUUCCGCAAUGGACGAAAGUCUGACGGAGCAACGCCGCGUGAGUGAUGAAGGCUUUCGGGUCGUAAAACUCUGUUGUUAGGGAAGAACAAGUGCUAGUUGAAUAAGCUGGCACCUUGACGGUACCUAACCAGAAAGCCACGGCUAACUACGUGCCAGCAGCCGCCGUAA